GGAGGGAUCAUUUCUGGAAGAGCAGUUUUGCUCUGAAGGAGUUCCCUCCUGAAAAUAUACAAUCUUUGUGGUGGAUCACUUGGGUACUGUGACGAUGAAGAACGUAGCAAGCCGCGUUAUUUAGUGCGACAUGCAAAGCUCGUGAAGCAUCGAACCGUCGAACAUACACACAACUGCUGAGUACUUGUACUAGGCAGUGCUUGCUCGAGAGUGUCAGCUUUUAUAUAUUCUGAACAAGGAAUGCUAAUUGAGGGAUGACAGGUUGUGAUGGGUCUUGACAGGUCUUGAUGGCCUUGACAGGUCUUGAUGUGUUGUUAGGUGUGACUUGGACUUCAUAUCGCAUCUCCUUGUUUAUCGUAUAAUACCUCGGUAUUAUGAUGAAAAAUUACUUUUUCAUUUCUGACCUCUCCUGUGAGAGAUUACCUACUGAAUUUAAGCAUAUUAGUAAGUAGAGGAAAAGAAAUCAAAAGAGAUUCCCUUAGUAGCGGCGAGUGAAACGGGAAUAGUCCAUCCUGAAAUCUGGCGCAAGCUGGAUGUUGUGGGGUGAAGGAUAUUGUCCUUCGUAUUGAUAACUGCCGAAUCUUCCUGGAAAGGAGAACCAAAGAGGGUGAAAGUCCUGUACGGUGGUUUGAGAUAUGGUCGGAUAAUGUUCUAAGAGUAGCAUUCUUUUAAAGUAGAAUGUGAAUAUAGGUGAUGAAUUUCAUCUAAGACUAAAUAUUAACACAGUAUACCGAUAGCAAACAAGUACUGAGAAGGAAAGUUGAAAAGAUCCCUGGAGAGGGGCUGAAAAAUAUGUGAAACCACUGAGUGAACAAA
rnacentral:misc_RNA from 1 species